GCGACACCAAACCAAUCAAAAGGCAUUGAUUCAAAUGAAAUAAUAGGGAUAGUAAUUGGAUCAGUGGUUGCUGUAAUAAUACUAGCUCUUGUUGUGCUUGGUGCGGUAAAGUAUUUCAAAAUUUUUGAUAGAACAGAUGAGAUUGAUCCAUAUAUAGAUGCUAUUGGUGAUCAUGAACUAUCUCAGUACACAGAGAAACAAGAAAGUUCUGGUUCCGAACUCAAGGGCAAGGCUAAUCAAAACUUUUACGAUGGUUUACAUUAAAGAAAUUGAUCAUUGCAAUUAUUAUAUCCGAUAGGAUGUGUAUCUCCUAAUCUGAAACCUAUUGAUACUGUUAUGUAUAGAUCUAUAUUGUUAAAUUUAAAUGUGCUAUUAUUUCAAAUGAUUGAUGUCAGGUAUUCUUAUUACUAAAUAGUUUAUAUGAAUGGAAACAGAAUAACUACAAUUAAUUAUCUUGAAUCGCAAUAUCUUCGCACUGAUAUUAUAAGUUACGGAGUGUGUAAUAAUACAAUACAAAUGGGGUUUUAAAUUUAAUAAGGGUAAAAGCGACGCUCACAGCCCAUAUGGAAUUUAUUCCCCCAUAUAUAAUUUGUAUUGGGUCACUAGUAUACUUGGCAACGAAUUUAUUUUACCGGCUACCUUAACAUGUGCUAUCUAGACUAAUGAACUAUCAAAGUGACCAAGUCUCCAAUAUAAAGAGCGAACUUCCAUUGAUCUUUACAAAAAAUAGUGCUUAUAACAACAAAUUUUUACUUUAAAUUUGUUUUCUGCAUUUAUUUCAUCAAUUUCUUCACCUGUUUAACGGGCAUAACAUUUCCAUUUUUUUUUCAUUUAAAGGGACUUAACUUCACUAAUACCUCUGCAUUGAAAUAAACCAAUCAUACUAACCACAUAUAAAAUAUACACGGUCUCCAGGCAAUCGUAUUCAAUCAAUCAUAUUUCAAGAAAUGUAUAAUCGGCAAAAAAAAAUUUGAACAAGAUAAAGAUAUGAAAACUAAAUCUAUAAUAACUGAAUAAGUAAAUAACCUUUUGUACUUGAAUUUAUUCUAUUCUGAGUCAAAGAUUAUAGAUGAAGGAAGAUGUGGAAUGAGUGUCAAUGAGAAAAUCCUUCAUCCAAGUAAAAGUAAACCAUUAUGCUCAGUGUCCUCAAUGCUCUUCAAGUUCGUACUUUAUUUGGCCUUUUAAACAUUUUUUUAUUCGAGCGUCACUGAUGAGUCUUUUGUAGACGAAACGCACGUCUGGCGGCGUAAAUCUUGGUAUCUAUGAUGAUAAAAUUGAGAAAAGAAAUGAGGAAUGUGUCAGAACGACAACAACCCGACAAUAGAGCAAACAACAGCCGAAGGCCACCAAUGGGUCUUCAAUGUAGCGAGAAACUCCCGCACCCGGAGGCGGUCUUCAGCUGGCCCCUUAACUGUAUGUUUACUAGUUUAUUUAUAUAGUUCAUAGAACGGUCUUCAACACAGAGCCUUGGCUAACAAAGAACAGCAAGUUAUAAAGGGCCUCACAAAUGACUAGUGUAAAGCAAUUCAAACAGGAAAACCAACGGUGUAACCUUUAUAAAAAGAAAAAGAAAUAUUUAUGAACCACAUCAACAAACGACAACCGUUGAACACCAGGUUCAUGAUUUAGGACAGGUGAAAAAUGCAACGGUUUUAUUCGUUUAAAUGGGUACCAACCGUCACCCUUUCAGGAAACAAUAGUGUAAGAUUACAAUAUAAAAUAUAUCAAAUUAUAAUGAGAGUAUUGAUUUUUAAAUGUGAUGUUUAUUUCAAGAUUAUUAAAAAAUACUUUGGAUCACAUUCUAAUCAAUGAAUAUUUCAAAUUUUGACACCAGUAAUUGACAAAAGAUACA
rnacentral:lncRNA from 1 species